rnacentral:rRNA from 11 species
CGAAAAUGUAACGGGGCUAAACACACCACCGAAGCUAUGGCUUGAUACUUUGUAUCAGGGGUAGGGGAGCGUUGAAUGAAGAUUGAAGGUGUACCGCAAGGAGCGCUGGACCUCAUUCAAGUGAGAAUGCCGGUAUGAGUAACGAAAAGAUCAGUGAGAAUCUGAUCCGCCGAAAACCCAAGGAUUCCUGAGGAAGGCUCGUCCUCUCAGGGUAAGUCGGGACCUAAGGCGAGGCCGAAAGGCGUAGUCGACGGACAACAGGUUGAAAUUCCUGUACCACCGAAAGCCGUUAUGAGCAAUGGGAUGACGCAGGAGGAUAGUGACGCGGACUGAUGGAUGUCCG